UACGGAGGGUGCAAGCGUUAUCCGGAUUCACUGGGUUUAAAGGGUGCGUAGGUGGGUCUGUAAGUCAGUGGUGAAAUCUCCGAGCUUAACUUGGAAACUGCCAUUGAUACUAUAGAUCUUGAAUACCGUGGAGGUCAGCGGAAUAUGUCAUGUAGCGGUGAAAUGCUUAGAUAUGACAUAGAACACCAAUUGCGAAGGCAGCUGGCUACACGAAUAUUGACGCUGAUGCACGAAAGCGUGGGGAUCAAACAGG
rnacentral:rRNA from 1 species